GCCCAGCUAGCUCAGUUGGUAGAGCAUAAGACUCUUAAUCUCACAGUCAUGGGUUAGAACCCCACAUUGGGUG